CGCGCCGGGCCUGAGCGCGGGCAGGGGCAGCGGCCGGGGCGGGGCGCGCGUGCGCGGCGCGGGAUCCCCCGAGCGGCGGCGGGAGGCCCCGGCUGGCCAGUCACGUCUCCCGCGCGCCCGGCCCUCGAGUCUGAGAAGCGGGGGCGCGCCCGGUGGCGAGCAAAUCCAUCCCCCAGAGGCCAGCCCCCUUCGCAGGCUGGAAAACUGAGGCCCGACGUCCGCACGGCCUGGAAUGCUCGGGGCGGGGAGGUGCAGCUACCAGGAAAUAAAGAGCUCCUGGUCCCUGCGCCUUGAACCCCGAGGAGCGGUCUGCAGAAAUUAAUUAGUUCAUUCAUUCAUUCAUUUAUGAAAUAUUUAUUGAGCACCUACUAAGUGCCAGGCACGGAGUAUUCAACCGUGAGCAACAUAGAUUAGGCCUGCCCUCAGGGAUUUGACAGAAGUUCACAAGCAUCCGCAAAUUUACUGGUCCAGUCCUGCUCCCAUCCGUCUCACUGCCAAACCAGCAACCCAACAGCCUCCUGGAUCCCUCCAGCUGCUUCCGCCAGGUCCAGGGGCUGGGACCUCCUGCACAUUCCCUCAGCAUCAUUCAUCUCAAAGCUGGGGAGAGCUAUUGGAGGUUCUGGCGUUCAGAGGGCAGGAGCCAGGAAUGCUAAAAACGCUAAAAGUCGUGCAAUGCACUGGACAGUGAUGCUGCCCCCGCCCAAGGAGAAUUGCUUCAUUCCCACAAGACACCUGUGUGGUGAAAACACCGUUCAUAGUUAUCUGAAGCCAGAACCUAAUUCCAUUUUACAUAUCAACACAAAGUAUUUUUCACUGAAUUUUCAGAAAUGCAACUAUGUUUAAAUAGAGGAAAGAAUAUACUUUGUUUUGUUUGAGAGCUUUGUCCGGAGUUGUUCACCAUUUGGGAAAAAGAGUUUAUAGAGGGAAACACCACUCCUAAUAUUGGAGCAGUUGACCCAACAAGCAGACAUCUGUAGCUGUGCUCUUGUAGACAGACCGCCAUAUUUAUUUAGCACUUAUUUUAAAAUGUCGAGUGUAAGACAAAAUUAUGGGCAAUAUUCAGUUGACUAGUGACUAUCUUACUUCUCAGCUCUGAACACAUUCAUUAAAAACAGACACACUUCAACACAAUAUUGUAAAUUGACGCUACUUCAAUAAGAAAAAAAAAGAAAAAACCAGACACACUACUGAGACUUCCCUGUGUCCUCCAGGGGAGUUGUGCCCAAGAUGUUACAUAAUGAAAUGGACGUUGUUUCAUCAUGAUGAAUUUUCCUUUUAUGUUAGGGCAUUAUAGAUUUUGUUUUUUCACAUUACAUGUGGAGGUGGGCUUUAUCAUCUAUGAAUUUGUUGCCAAUGAGAAAAGGAAUCAUCACACACUAGUUGUAAAAGGGGUGUGGGAUUUUAGGGUGGAGAACCUUAGGCUGGUGGUUCUCAAAUUGGAAGGUUUGAGAAUUCCCUGGAGUCAAUACAGAUUUGGAGGCCCCACCCUCCGGAGUUGGCGAUUCACUCAGCUUUUAAUAAUGCCCUAGUGAUGCUGAAGGUCCUGGUAUGGGGACCUCGGUUUGAGAACCGCUCCCUGUACAAAUGCCAAGGCCUCCUUACUGGUCUUCCCUCCAUACCCUUCCUCUCCUACCCAUCGAGAAAUCCAUACCAAGAUCUGAUCAUCAAAACCGCAAUGAGGUACCACCUCGCACCGGUCAGAAUGGCCAUUAUUAAAAAGUCUACAAGGACUUCCCUGGUGGUCCAGUGAGUAAGACUCCACGUUCCAAACGCAGGGAGCUGGGGUUCGAUCCCUGGUCAGGGAACUAGAUCCCGCAUUGCAUGCCGCAACUAAAAAGAUCCCACAUGCCGCAAAGAAGAUCCCAUGUGCCGCAACUAAGACCUGGCACAGCCAAAAUAAAUGAAUGAAUAAAAUAAAUAUUAAAAAAUCUACAAAUAACAAAUGCUGGAGAGGGUGUGGAGAAAAGGGAACCCUCCUACACUGCUGGUGGGAAUGUAAGUUGGUGCAGCCACUGUGCAAAACAGUAUGGAGGUUCCUCAGAAAACUAAAAAUAGAAUUACCAUAUGAUCUAGCAAUUCCACUUCUGGGCAUAUAUCCAGACAAAACUCUAAUUCAAAAAGAUACAUGCACCCUUAUGUUCAUAGCAGCACAAUUCAUAAUAGCCAAGACAUGGAAACAACCUAAAUGUCCAUCGACAGAUGAGUGGAUAAAGAAGAUGUGGUAGACCUAGAGUCUGUCAUACAGAGUGAAGUAAGUCAGAAAGAGAAAGACAAAUAUCGUAUGCUAACACAUAUAUAUGGAAUUUAAGAAAAAAAAAGUCAUGAAGAACCUAGGGGUAAGACAGGAAUAAAGACACAGACCUACUAAAGAACGGACUUGAGGAUGUGGGGAGGGGGAAGGGUGAGCUGUGACAAAGCGAGAGAGAGGCAUGGACAUAUAUACACUACCAAAUGUAAGGUAGAUAGCUAGUGGGAAGCAGCCGCAUAGCACAGGGAGAUCAGCUCCGUGCUUUGUGACCGCCUGGAGGGGU